CCCUUAGAUGUUCUGGGCCGCACGCGUGCUACACUGAGUGGAUCAGCGGGUCAGGUUGCGCGAAAGUGUUUCCUAAUCUUUAAAUCCGCUCGUGAUGGGGAUUGACGGUUGCAAUUUUCCGUCAUGAACGAGGAAUACCUUGUAAGCGCGGGUCAUCAUCCCGUGCUGAAUACGUCCCUGCCCUUUGUACACACCGCCCGUCGCUCCUACCGAUUGAGUGGUCCGGUGAGGCUUUGGGAUCUGAGCGGAAAGAGCGUUUCGCUGUUUCUGCCCGGAAAACUCAGUCGAACCUUAUCAUUUAGAGGAAGGAGAAGUCGUAACA
rnacentral:rRNA from 1 species